rnacentral:lncRNA from 1 species
AUGCGUGACUUGAUGGGAGGAGGAGUUGGGGUAAUGAGUCUGAUACUCGUUGGCAUCUGGUGUAUUUCAACUAACUUAGAGUUUGUCGGGGCUGGAGUAACCGUUGAGAUGAGCAAGAAAGGUGACCACUUCAAAUACAUAUACGACAGUUUUAAAAUGGACGCAACCCCAACUUUUCUAAUCUCCUCUAAAAGCUCCGGACGAAUUCUGCCGAAUUUAAGCACAGUGACGUCAAGAAUUGGCUCAUCAAGAAUCUUGAAUGCUGCAGAACCUCCGGAAAAACCUAAUCCAAUCGCAUCUGAACAUGAUUCGCUCGCAAACAUUCAACGAAGAAUUGUAGUCCUGAGAAAUCCAAGCUAUGAAAUGUCAGAAAAAUAUACUGAAAAACUUGCACCGAUCGAAACAAACUCGUUGGCGACGAGAGAGGCUCCCACGAGUAUUUGGCAGACAGUGAUAAAUAUUCUCAUUGGUACGAAUGAGGAUAGUGACAAUACAGGUACCUUGAAGUUUUCCACCACUAUCUAUAUUUUAACUGUUUUUUUAGGAAGAGAGUUUUUCAUUAUGAGAGGGAUUUUGGUAAAAAAAGAGAGGAGCCUUAAGGGACCGUCCCUGAAUUACGUUAACGCUAAAUUUAUGGGUUUUUAACACCCCUCAAUCUUCGUAACGCUCCGUAACGCUGCGUUAGACCCUGAAAAAUCACGUAACGCUAGUCCGGAACCCCCCCCCCCAUUUAAAAAAAAUAUUCAAAAUAUCAUCUUACAGUCACUGUACAGAUUGGCGUUUCUAUUUAGUGAGGAAAAGUGAAAGUAUCACAGAGAAUAUUUCCGAAAUUAUUUAAAACUUUUAAAAACGACCGACGAAAAAUUCUACAGAAACUCGGAACAAAAUCUCUUAAACUCGUUACGUAACUCAACGCUCUAUCGUCUAUACCCCCCCCCCCCCCCCCCGAGGGGCGUAACGUAAUUAAGGGUCAUAAAUCUCAUACAGAGUAAGAACAACGUAAACAUUUUGAGUGAGGGGAAAGUUACUUUUAACAAUUCGACCGUGUAUCAUACAAACGACUAAUUUCAUCCUAAUCUCAAAAAGGCUAUCGCGUUACGAGCAAGUUAUCUGAAAAGGUCUACUUAUUACGCCCGUAAGAAGUAAAAUGUUAGUAGAUUUUAUUUUUGUUCGAGUGAAUUUUUAACGGAAGAAUGAGUCACAAUUAGCCAAAAUUUCGAAGAUGAAACUAUAAAGAAAAGCAUUGCCAUUGAUGUAUACCUAAAUUUAAUGUCACAUAUUUUUUUGCUUCCAUUGAUAAUAUCUUAACUGACGAUCAUUACUAUUGCAUAGAGUUUUUUGUAAUACGUAUUAGAAUUUUCAAGAAUAUUCUCCAAAAAUUUAUCUAAAUAUACUUGAUGUGUACUCUUUGAAAAAAUAAAGAUAAUUGUGGAACAUAAAAUAUGCAUGCAUGUUUUUCUGGUUUUACCGUAGCCACGCAAUUGAACGCCCUACUCUUGGAUCAUGCGGAAUCUGCAAUUAUCUCUAGCCGCCAAGCAAAUUUCAUAUCCGAGGAAUCGAAGGCGCUUUAAAUUUUUCAAGCCUUCUUACACUUGCUCAUUCCAUGGAAAACUCUAUAAUCAGUUCCUAGAAGUUUCUAAAAAUGAUAGGUAACACUGUAAUUUCAGUGCCAUUCAUAGGCCUCGUUCAAUAAAAAGUGUAGAUAUUGUAUUAAAUUAAAGAAUAGAAUGUGUAGAAUCGUACCUGAUUUGGUUCACCGGUGUACUUGUACUCCUUUUCGGAGUUCCGAAGAAAUGUUGAGAUUUUUUUCUCUUCACCUUCCUUUUCAGUCGAGGCCUCUUUUUUAUCUACCUCUUCUUCUUCGGGCACCUCCUCAACGACUUCCAUCGCUGCAAAAUCAUUGAUCAUUACAGCCUAAAACCAUGUUUACAGUAUAUUCGGAGAAAAUUUAAAAAAAAUAAGUGGUAAACUAG